rnacentral:rRNA from 1 species
GACGAACGCUGGCGGCGCGCCUAACACAUGCAAGUCGAACGGAGUUGUGUUGAAAGCUUGCUGGAUAUACAACUUAGUGGCGGACGGGUGAGUAACACGUGAGUAACCUGCCUCUCAGAGUGGAAUAACGUUUGGAAACGAACGCUAAUACCGCAUAACGUGAGAAGAGGGCAUCCUCUUUUUACCAAAGAUUUAUCGCUCUGAGAUGGCCUCGCGUCUGAUUAGCUAGUUGGUGGGGUAACGGCCUACCAAGGCGAUGAUCAGUAGCCGGUCUGAGAGGAUGAACGGCCACAUCGGGACUGAGACACGGCCCAG